rnacentral:tRNA from 1 species
CUCCUGGUGGUCUAGUUGGUUUAUGGCAUCGGACUGUAAAUCCGAGAGUCGGGCGUUCGAUUCGCCCCCGGGAGA